rnacentral:rRNA from 1 species
ACGACUCUCGGCAACGGAUAUCUCGGCUCUCGCAUCGAUGAAGAACGUAGCGAAAUGCGAUACCUGGUGUGAAUUGCAGAAUCCCGCGAACCAUCGAGUCUUUGAACGCAAGUUGCGCCCGAGGCCACUCGGCCGAGGGCACGCCUGCCUGGGCGUCACGCCA